rnacentral:lncRNA from 1 species
GAAUAGGAGAGAAAAAAAAAGGGGGGAAAGCCCCCAUCUCCACCAGUCCUCAAGGCCUCUCUUUGGUGGGCGAUCUCCCCUUCCAUGAAGUGCUUAAAGACCAAGACAUCGCAUUUGUCAAUCGUGACGUGCCUGUGACUGCCCUCUGAGCAAACGGCAGAUGUGACAUAGCUUGGAACCUCGGGUUGAGCUGCUGAAAUGGAGAAGCUAGCUAGACAGCCCGUGUGUGACCAUGUAAAGGCGAAAUCAUUGAAGCAGGAUCUUAAGAGGGAAAAAGAAUUCUGGAGAUGUCAGUCUCGGGUUCAGCGGCUUCAAGCUGGUGAUAAAAAGACAAGUUCUUUCCCAUGCUUUGUGUGUUCGGAGGCGAAGGCAUAAUCAAGUCAGGGAUUGGUUUUUAUGACAGUGGUAUAUGGAAAGAGGAUCAUGAGGGUAUUCGGGGUGUCAUACAUGACUCUUUUUCCACCAUUUUCACUUCCUGCAGUCCGUAAAAUAUUACAGAAGCAGUGAGUGGUAUAUCUCGGGUAUUACACCCACAAUGAAUGAUGAUCCCGUCUAGGAUCAUGGUCUAUCGCAAAAUCAAAAUCCUGGGGGCAUCCCGUUAGAUCGAGGUGCUGGAGGCACCCUCUCGAGCCAAAACAAAGUUACCCAACGAAGAAGAUCACGAAUGCUUGCUGGUCAAACAUUAGCGACUAACCCCCAUGGUCCUGAGUGCAGGAUGUUAAGAAAGCAAGGCUGUACAGUAAGGCUGGAUCGCCUGUCAAUGGCCAGCUUUGGCACCAAGUUCGGGUACGUCAUCUCGAAAAUAAUGGAGACUUUGGGGUCUGCCCAAUAUUUUUGAUUUUUUCCCAGCCCUGGCAACCAAGCCGAUGAGAAAAGAGAGCAGAUGGUGCACUUGAUAGAAGCCUCGGCAGAAGCUAUUUUCUGGGACAGCAUCGCAUUUUUCAGAGCAACUCCAGCAGAUGGCUUUCCAUUCUGACAAUAGUUUUCAAGGUCAAGUUUCCACAGUGCCCUUUGGUCAUACACUGUCAGCGCCGGUGACAAACCAUAGCGAAUGUUGAGCUUUUGGAGACCAAAAAUAAUAAAAAUGAAGAGCAAUAAGGGGCCACUGACGUACUCAGAACCUAGAAUGAUUGUACAGUGUAAAGGAACCAAAACAGUGAAGAAAGUUCAUAGAUUCCUUUCUAGAUCUACGCUGUUGGAGGAUGGUUGGUGAGAAACCGACCAUAAAUAGGAGAUGAGUAGGUCGAAGGGAGGUUCAUGGUGAAUUUUCAGCAUCAACGGUGGGCACUGUAGCGGCAUGCAGAGGCGACAGUGUUGGAGCUUCGUUGAUUUCUGGAAGAACCGGUUGGUGUAUAUUUGUGGGAACGAAGGUUGUUGAUGGGAAUUUUACAGACCAGAAACGACAGCCUACUCAGUAGCAGCAGAAUUUUCAUGCGACUGGAGCUGCACCAAACACGGGAUUACCUCGAUUUGAGCAGUCAUAUGCUCAAGGCACAGGUCCUGCCUGGAAUGGUCAAUUGGUUCUACAACAGCAGCCUUCUUCACCUGUCUAUGGUGCUCAGAGAAGUGGCUUGCUACCACCACCACUCUGGGAAGUACAGGCGCCAGACUCUAGCCCAGUUGCGGGUGCUCAAUAUCCUCAAUCAAUGGUUACUCAAGUUAGUGUAACACAUGGCCAACCUCAAGGACCUCAACAUAUGAGAAAUGAUCAGAUGGUGGGUAUGUACAUUCAGCCAAUCACAACCAGUCAUUUGUCAGCAAUUAAUAACAAGGCUGUUCAGGGAAACCGGUUUGCUGGUUUUCAUCCUCAAUCAAUUCUGGGAGCACAGUAUAUGGACAUACUUUCACAGCAAAUGGCUCCUAUGUAUCCUCAACAAAUGUAAGGCAACCAAAUGGGAGUAUAUGGUUAUGUUCAACAACACUUCAAGCCAUUAUUUCCUUAAUGGAAAAUGGAGGAGAUCGUGUCAAAUUGGUGAAGGCUAUGGACAAUUUAAUGGAGCCGCGUCGAAUUCCUCAAGUCAAGAUAAUCUUCUUUUUUUUGGUAUUUUAUUUAUUUACUUAUUAUUUUUUUGUGUUAGUUAUUUUUAGGAGUAUUAUUCUUAUUUUUAUAUUUUUAUUUUUUGCAAAAAAAUAAAAAUUUUCAAAAAGAAAUAUUUUUGAAGAAAAACUGAAAGUAUCAAUUUUCCUUAAAAAUAAAUUUCAAAAAAAAAAAGUUUUUGAGGAAAAGUUGAAAGUAUCAAUUUUAUUUUAAAAUAAAAUUUCAAAAAAAGGUUUUUGAGGAAAAGUUGAAAGUAUCAAUUUUCCUUGAAAAUCAAAAUUUUCAAAAAAUUAUUUUUGAGGAAAAGUUGAAAGUAUCAAUUUUCCUUAAAAAUAUUUUUUUUUUUAAAAAAGGUUUUUUGAGGAAAAGUUGAAAGUAUCAAUUUUCCUUAAAAAUGAAUUUUCAAAAAAAGGAUUUUUGAGGAAAAAUUGAAAGUAUCAAUUUUCCUUGGAAAUCAAUGUUUCAAAAAAAAUAUAUUUUUGAGGAAAAGUUGAAAGUAUCAAUUUUCCUUAAAAAUAAAUUUCCAAAAAAUAUUUUCGGGGAAAAGUUGAAAGUAUCGAUUUUCCCUACGCAAGAGCAAUCAUUCUUUCCUUCCUUCCUAUUUUGAUUUUUGAUUUUGAUUUUUCUUUAACUAAUCCAACGACGGAGCCUCUGCAAGUGAAACAGUAGUUUUUCUUGCAUACUCCUGAGGUAAGGGAAUUUUCUCAAUUUUUUGCUAAAAGUAUUAGAGUCAAUUGAGAAUAAUUUCCAAUAAUUAAUUACUUGGUAAAAUUUUAAGGCUUUUGGAUAACAUAAAUUUAAGCUAGUACCAUCUUUUAAUGGGCGUUGUGAGGGUGCUAUAACCUUCCUCACACGUAAUCGAACUCCCGAACCCUGUUCUGGUUAGCAGACCCGAACCUAUUCUUUUAGGGACCCAAAAGCUUAGGUGUUUCCUAAAAGGGCAGAUUCUUUAGGUGGCCAAUCGCACCUAGAUAAAAAAGAUUGGUGGCGACUCCCUAAAGUCAAUGUCUAGCGAUAGAUCCCCGGAUCUAGAUGUUAUGACAGCUUGGCGACUCCGCUGGGGACUUUGAGAGUCAGACCAACAAAUAAUUUGUGUUAUCCAAAAAGCCGAAUAAAAUUGAACCUUUUUGUAUUUAUGUAUUAUUGUUCAUUCAUGUUUAUUUACUUUGUUAAUUAUGUCAUUCAUGUGCAUGUGCAUAACAUGAGCUCUACACCCGAGCUCUGUCCCUCUAGGAGGGAGUAAAGUACCUAUUGCUUUCGUGAGGUCUAAUGCCUCCGCAGUGGCUAGCGAAAUACUCCCACUCAAAUUGAACCUUUUCCGCUUGUAGCCUGUAAUGGGUGAGGAUUAUGGUGCCUUACUAGUCUGUGAUGGACAAUGAUGUAAGGAGCAAUUUGGGAACCUUUAGACUUUGACCUUAAACCACAUAUAGUGAACCUUAAGAGUGCCUAAACCUAGAUAGAGCCCUUUCUACCCAAUGAUAGAUAUACCCUGAAAUUAAGACACAAAAAGGAUGCUUAUCUAAUCACCUUGAUUGUCUGACUUUGUGCAUCAUUUUCAUUAUCAUAUGUAACAUUACGCAUCAGCAUCAUUUUCAUUUCAUCCAUGAAACUAAUUGUAUUGUUUGUCUGAUUUUAUGCAUCUGUAUUACUUUCAUGAUCAUGUUUUAACACAAUCAUUUGCAUCCAUUUCAUAUUAGAUUUCAUUCAAGAAAAUGUUCAUUUCAUUCGUGCAUCAAAGCAUCAUACAUAAAGCAUAGCAUAGCAUUUUUAAUCAUAAUUGUGGUGCUAGAGGUUCAAGGAUAGCUCCACCAAAUAACCCCACUCACCAAUACAAGAGUUCAAGCUAGACUAAUGGAACAAGAAAAUUUCAGUCGUCUUGAGAGAAUAGAGAAAGCUCAGGAAAAGUUAAAAGGGGAGUUGAAUAAGAUUUUAGGGGCAAACUGAUUUAAUAUGGUGGUCCAAAAUUUAAGUCAAAUGUUACUCAUCGACAGCGAGUGGAGAGAGCCUAUUUUUCAAGAAGUGAAUUUCAAUUGAACAGAACAUCGAUCAUAUUCCAACAGCUACAGUUGAAGAUGUGAAGCUUGUGGUGGCUACUGCUCAGAGAGCUUUUUCUAGAAACAAAAGCAAAGAUUAGGCUUCAGCUUCUGACGCUGUUCAUGCCAAGUAUUUACGGGCCAUUGUUUCCAAAACAAUAAAGAGAAAAUUUGAAUUAGCAAAGCUUGAGCAAUUGAUUACGGGAAACCACUUGAUGAGGUAACUUAGGACAUUGAUGAUGUUGUUGGAUGUUUUGAGUACUAUACGUACCUUGCCGAAAGUUUAGAUGUGAAGUAAAAGGUUGCCAUCUCUCUUCCUAUUGAGACAUUUAAGAGUUAUGUGCUUAAAGAACCAUUUGGGGUCAUUGGAUUGAUUACUCUAUGGAAGUAUCCACUGUUGAUGAUAGCCUGAAAAGUAGCUCUUGCUUUGGCUGUAGAUUAUGCUACAAUACUGAAACCUUUCGAGUUGGUAUCUAUCACCUGUUUGGAGCUGGCUGACAUGUGUAGGACGGUUGGUUUUCCUCCAGGUGUCUUGAACAUUUUAACUGGAUCGAGCCUGAAAGUUAUGAUUUUUUUAGCAUCUCAUCUCAAUGUUGACAAGAUUGCCUUUACCAGAAACACUACAACAGAGAGCAUGAUAAUGGAAGCAGCCACUCAAAUGGUCAAGCUUAUAUCUUUAGAACUCAGCAGGAAAAGCCCAAUCAUUUUGUUUGAGGAUCAAGAAUAUGAAGAGUCCCAAUGAAUCAAUGGGACGAGAUAAAAAUCCUUCACCUGGUUGCCCAGGGGCAUGAUUUUAAAGAGGAUGUUAAAACUGGUUGAAUGCCACUUGUCAUUCUAAGAGUUCUUUUAAAGUAAUGUUAGGAUUUUUUUUCUGCAAUAUGAUUUCACUUGUUAUCAUCUUAAUAAGGGCAAGUUAAUGCAUUUCAUUACAUUUUCUCUUUCACUCGACCAUUAUUUCAUGCCCUGUUACCUUUCAUGACUUUACAUUCUCAUUUUCAAAUUUCAGAUGAUGAAUAUUUAGACAAUGGUAACAAUAAUUAUGAAAUUUAAUUUUGAGAACUCAUUCAUAGAGGAGAUGAUUUGAGCGAAAAUAAAGAGGGUAAGCCAUUACCAGAGAUGAAAGAGAUAUAUUUUGAAGAUAUGUAAUCUUUUAUACAAGAUCAUGAGCUUUGUUCAAUAGAUGAUGUUCAAAGAAAGUAUUCAUAAUUGAGAUGAAAAAUGGCCAUCUUUCUUUUACCAUUCAAAAAAACCAUUUAUUGCUACCCCUUUGAGCCUAUUAUGAUUUCUUUUUCGGAGGAACCCCAACCAAGGAUCACCCUCUACACUGGGGGGUAAUUUUUGAAAAAAUCACAAAAGGUCUCAAAAAUAUAAAAAAAAAGAAAAAAUAAAUGCCACACAUGAUUUGGGGCAAAAUAAUGAGAAUCCUUUGUGUGAGGAAAGAAAAAGUAGUGAAACGAUGUGGGGCAAAAUGCCAAGUUGUGUCAAAUGAUCUUUUGGUUUUGAACCUUUUUAAUACAUGUUUUGAGCCUAUUAUAUCCAUUUUUUAUGACCCUUCACCUUGGCCUACGUUACAACCUUGAAAAGUUCAUUUGGAUCGAGUGUGAAUACUCAACUUGAAUGAUCAUAUGUUGAGUGAAUGUAUGCUCAUGAUGAAGCAAUGGAAUCAUGCCACAUUGCUCUAAAGUUUGAUGUAUGAAAGAUAUCAACAAUGGAUGAAAAAUGAAAAAAAAAGAAAAAAAAGAAAAAAAAAAAAGAAAGAAAGAAGGAAAAAAUGAGAAAAUGAAAAAAAAAGAGAUUUAAAUUGAAAACCUGAAAGGGUGAUUUUGGUAAAAAAAAAAAAAGGUCCAGGUCAAAUGGCUCACAUGAAUGGAAGAUCAAAGACAUCUGAAGAUCCCUCAAAGACUGGGGCAAAGUUCGCCAAGCUCAAGAUGACUUCAACAGUAAAUGAAAUGAGUUUUUAAAAAAGAAUCCUAGAUUAAUGUUGAGAAUUGUCUGAAUAUUCAUCAUUUGGACAUACCAUCCAUCUUAAUGACAUCCAAUUUAUUUCCUUUCCCAUUUGUUUUGUACCAAAACAGAUCUUCAUUGAUUAUUUUUACCAUAAUUCACCUUUUGUUCUCUCAUUGUUUCACCCCUAAAAUGAAUUGAGAAAAUGCUUGAUUGCAUUGUAUUUGUCAAGAAUUGAAAUGAUAAUGAAUGAAUGAAUAUGUGCUUAAAAGAGUCUUGCAUUCAUUUGAAAAGAAAUCUAAGAUGAUGGUGGUAGAAACCUAAAAGAGAUGAUUUGAAAAGAUAUAUGAUGUGAUCAAAUGAAGAAUAUAAUGGGGCAUAUCUUGAAAAGUGAUGAAUAGAUCGAUAUGACUUGCAAGUUAUGAUUGAAUGAUGAAGACAAUCAGUGGAUAGAGUUUGUUUUGGAAUGGUUAAUGCUGAGACAGAGUAAUGACCCAAUAAUGGUGGAUGAAACUUGUUUUGAAAAUUUGUUAUUGCUGAGAAAUUCAUUGAAUGAUGGUCAAGUGAUGAUUGAUUGAUGAAGCUUAUUCCAAAGUAUUGAGAAAUUGAACAAGGAAAAAUAUGAGUGGAAGAGACAAUUGAGAGCUACACUGGUUCGAUCUUAGAAGAGUAGUGUAAUUGGAUCUCUGAAGAAUCAAAGGGCUUGAUGCCUAAGAAAAGAGCUUGAGAAAUUUGAGUACCAUACAUUGAACAGUAAUUAAUUGACCAACAUUUGCAUAGCAUGCACUGAAAUUCAUAUGCAUUUGCACAGCAUACACUACUUUCAGGAAAGUAUAGUGUAUAAAUUCAAGAAGCAAGAGUUUUCCAACAUCCCAUAUAGAGAAGACAGAUAUGAAGAUAUUUUGCAAGUUUGAGAAGAAACUUGUCAGGUAAGUUCCUAAUCCUUGAAAUAGGAUGUCUUUUGGUAUCAGAGUUGAUUUAUAAGACCUUUGGGCAUAAUCUCCUGAAAUUCCUUCAAACACAACUUUCAACUCCUUUGGACAUGAUUGUCAAGGAGCAAUUUACUUUCAAAGUCGUGGUGCCUUUAUUUAGAGGAGCAAUUUACUUUUUCAAAGUCAUGGUGCCUCUGUUUAGAGGAGCAAUUUACUUUUCAAAGUCGUUGUGCCUCUGUUUAGAGGAGCAAUUUACUUUUCCAAAGUCGUGGUGCCUCUGUUUAGAGGAGCAAUUUACUUUUUCAAAGUCGUGGUGCCUCUGUUUAGAGGAGCAAUUUACUUUUUCAAAGUCGUGGUGCCUCUGUUUAGAGGAGCAAUUUACUUUCCAAAGUUUCGUUGCCUCUGUUUAGAGAAGCAAUUUACUUUUAAAGUCGUGGUGCCUCUGUUUAGAGGAGCAAUUUAUUUUUCAAAGUUGUGGUGCCUCUGUUUAGAGGAGCAAUUUACUUUUCAAUGUCGUUGAGCCUCUGUUUAGAGGAGCUUUGAAAAAAUAAAAAAAAACCAAAAAACAAAAACAAAAAAAAUAAAAAAACAAAAACAAAAAAAAAGUUGCCUCUAUUUAGAGGAGCUUUGUUUAUGUUUCUCAAAGUCAUUGAGCCUCUGCUUAGAGAGCUUUGAUCAAAUUUUUUUUUUUAAAAAAAAAAAAAAAAACAAAAGGGGCAAAAAAAAAUUCAGUUGAGUCUUGAAGGGGUGUCUACGUCUUUGCACAAUUUCAGUUUCACAAAAAAUGUGCAAAGAGGGGCAGCUGUAGACACCCCAUUUUAUCCGGGAUCCUUUGUCAAUUAAGACUAAUCCUAGCUCAGUUGCAGGGAUUUUUAUUCAUUUUUGUUUUAGAUUUUUUUAUUUCAUAUUUAUCAAUUUUAUUUUUAUUUUUAUGAUUUAUUUUUUUUCUUUUGAUUAUCUGAUAAAAAAAAAGGGCUGAAAGCUUGGUGAUUGUGAUGAUUGUUAUCUAGAUGCUAAUCUUUAGCAUUGGAUAACUAAUUGGAAUUGAAUUGAAACUCUAUCAGCAUGGGUCUAUAUAUCAACAAUAUGCAAGCUGGAAAGCAGGGGGAGAAAAAAAAAAGAUAGAGGAGGAAUCUGAAUAAGAGGAGGAGUCCGAAUAGGAGAGAAAAAAAAAGGGGGGGAAAGCCCCCAUCUCCACCAGUCCUCAAGGCCUCUCUUUGGUGGGCGAUCUCCCCUUUCAUGAAGUGCUUAAAGACCAAGACAUCGCAUUUGUCAAUCGUGACGUGCCUGUGACUGCCCUCUGAGCAAACGGCAGAUGUGACAUAGCUUGGAACCUCGGGUUGAGCUGCUAAAAUGGAGAAGCUAGCUAGACAGCCCGUGUGUGACCAUGUAAAGGCGAAAUCAUUGAAGCAGGAUCUUAAGAGGGAAAAGGAAUUCUGGAGAUGUCAGUCUCGGGUUCAGCGGCU